rnacentral:rRNA from 1 species
AGAACGAACGCUGGCGGCAUGCCUAAUACAUGCAAGUCGAACGAACACUUCGGUGUUAGUGGCGCACGGGUGCGUAACGCGUGGGAAUCUGCCCUUGGGUUCGGAAUAACAGUUGGAAACGACUGCUAAUACCGGAUGAUAUCGAAAGAUCAAAGAUUUAUCGCCCAGGGAUGAGCCCGCGUAGGAUUAGCGUAGUUGGUGAGGUAAAGCUCACCAGGCACGAUCCUAGCUGGUCUGAGAGGAUGAUCAGCCACACGUGGGACUGAGACCGACCGGCCCAGACCUCCGUACGGGAGGCAGCAGGUAGGAUAGUGGACAGUGGGCGACAAGCCUGACGUCCGAGCAAGUCGGACCGACGGUGGACGU